UAAAACAUCGUGGUUGUUUGAUUUGUUCUGUACUUGCACUUUGCAUUUCAUAUUUACUGGUUAAUGUUCUAACCUGCAUCAAAAAUUUACCAUUGCUAUUCCCCUUUUUAUCAUCUAGUAUGCUAUACCAAAUAACUAAUUGCUACUUCUUGGCUUUUAUGAUAACUCUGUUAUAGACAUACACGUCAAUGAGCCAGAAGGGGACAUUUUGAUAUUUAUGACUGGACAGGUCCUCUUAGGAUGAUAUAGAGAAGUUGGUUUCGAAAUUGGAGGAAAAAAUUCGAAACCUUGAGGCAGGAUCUUGUAUGGAUGCCAUAGUCCUUCCGCUUCAUGGUUCUUUGCCACCUGAAAUGCAGGCAAGUUGUUCAUCUUAAUGUCUAUGUAGUUAACUUACAGUAGUAUUUCUCUGUUAUCUUGCAGUCUCAAUGCUAUCCGGAUGUCAUACAUACAACUACUUGUUGCAUCCUCAUUAUGUUUCACAUAACUUAUUAAAUGACAUAUAUUGUCAUUCUUCAACUGCUUUUUUGGGUGCCUGAGUUACUCAGAAUGCACCCCUUGUUUCCGGAGGUCAAUUUGCUGACAGGCUAUAAGCAUUUGUCUUUUAAUGGUUUUGAACAUCUAGGUUUUUAUUCUUUUUUUGUUUCACUUUACUUUUUUCCUGG